rnacentral:rRNA from 1 species
UGGGGAAUCUUCCGCAAUGGACGAAAGUCUGACGGAGCAACGCCGCGUGAGUGAAGACGGCCUUCGGGUUGUAAAGCUCUGUUAUUCGGGAAGAACGAUUCGUUUGUGAACAAUGAACGGAAGUGACGGUACCGAAAGAGAAAGGCACGGCUAACUACGUGCCAGCAGCCGCGGUAAUACGUAGGUGGCAAGCGUUGUCCGGAAUUAUUGGGCGUAAAGAGCGCGUAGGCGGUAUGGUAAGUCUGUCUUAGAAGUGCGGGGCUUAACCCCGUGAGGGGACAGAGACUGUCAUACUGGAGUCUCGGAGAGGAAAGCGGAAUUCCUAGUGUAGCGGUGAAAUGCGUAGAGAUUAGGAAGAACACCGGUGGCGAAGGCGGCUUUCUGGACGAGCACUGACGCUGAGGCGCGAAAGCGUGGGGAGCGAACAGG